AGGUCAAAAUGACAUUUAUAUAAACGAAUUAAAAAAUGGUCUACAAAAUUCAACUAUUUACUAGUAAAAUAGUUUAACUCUAAUAGAGUAACGAGUUAAUAUCAAUAAUAUAGUGAGUGUGUGUGUGUGUGUGUGUGUGUGUGUGUGUGUGUGUGUGUGUGUGUGUGUUAAUCCUUACUUGCAGCUGAGAGCGAAGCUGACUUACUAAGGACGCAGCUCAACCUGAUUGAGUCGAAGGCUUUCUAAGGGCCACCUUAUGACUCAAGUUUCUAAAGUCUCUGACAGCCAUGCACCUGAUGACUCGGUAUCUGAUCCGC